rnacentral:lncRNA from 1 species
AAUGUCGUCGCUUAUAACAUUUAUAUAAAANCACNNAAGCAAACGAAACAUCAAACGUUCGAACGUAUUACAAUAUUUUAUUCAAAACUUACAAUUAUUAAAAUCCAUUAUUCAAAAGUAUAGAAAAAUACUUUAAACAUAAUAAAAUUCCCAACAACUAAUCCCAUAUCUCUCGUCGCGCUACUCCUGCUCUUCCUUAUCUGCAACGCCAUCUACUCCCGUCCAAGGACGACCAUUGCAGGUGGAACCACAACCACAAAAGGAAAGGGUGAGUAACUAAGAACAUAACAUAGUAUACGAUUUAACAUCAUAC